UACGUAGGGGGCGAGCGUUGUCCGGAUUUAUUGGGCGUAAAGAGCUCGUAGGCGGUUCGAUAAGUCGGACGUGAAAUCUCCACGCUCAACGUGGAGGGGCCGUUCGAUACUGUCGUGACUCGAGUCCGGUAGGGGAGACUGGAAUUCCUGGUGUAGCGGUGAAAUGCGCAGAUAUCAGGAGGAACACCGGUGGCGAAGGCGGAUCUCUGGGCCUUACCUGACGCUGAGGCGCGAAAGCUAGGGGAGCGAACAGG
rnacentral:rRNA from 1 species